rnacentral:rRNA from 1 species
AUUGAACGCUGGCGGUAUGCUUAACACAUGCAAGUCGAACGGUAACAGGCCUUCGGGCGCUGACGAGUGGCGGACGGGUGAGUAAUGCAUAGGAAUCUGCCGAUUAGUGGGGGAUAACGUGGGGAAACUCACGCUAAUACCGCAUACGCCCUACGGGGGAAAGCGGGGGAUCUUCGGACCUCGCGCUAAUCGAUGAGCCUAUGUUGGAUUAGCUAGUUGGUAGGGUAAAGGCCUACCAAGGCGACGAUCCAUAGCUGGUCUGAGAGGAUGAUCAGCCACACUGGGACUGAGACACGGCCCAGACUCCUACGGGAGGCAGCAGUGGGGAAUAUUGGACAAUGGGCGAAAGCCUGAUCCAGCAAUACCGCGUGUGUGAAGAAGGCCUGAGGGUUGUAAAGCACUUUCAAUAGGAAGGAAUACCUGCCGGCCAAUACCCGGCAGACUGACAUUACCUAUACAAGAAGCACCGGCUAACUCCGUGCCAGCCGCCGCAGUAAAAC